GAUGAACGCUGGCGGCGUGCCUAAUACAUGCAAGUCGAGCGAACGGACGAGAAGCUUGCUUCUCUGAUGUUAGCGGCGGACGGGUGAGUAACACGUGGAUAACCUACCUAUAAGACUGGGAUAACUUCGGGAAACCGGAGCUAAUACCGGAUAAUAUUUUGAACCGCAUGGUUCAAAAGUGAAAGACGGUCUUGCUGUCACUUAUAGAUGGAUCCGCGCUGCAUUAGCUAGUUGGUAAGGUAACGGCUUACCAAGGCAACGAUGCAUAGCCGACCUGAGAGGGUGAUCGGCCACACUGGAACUGAGACACGGUCCAGACUCCUACGGGAGGCAGCAGUAGGGAAUCUUCCGCAAUGGGCGAAAGCCUGACGGAGCAACGCCGCGUGAGUGAUGAAGGUCUUCGGAUCGUAAAACUCUGUUAUUAGGGAAGAACAUAUGUGUAAGUAACUGUGCACAUCUUGACGGUACCUAAUCAGAAAGCCACGGCUAACUACGUGCCAGCAGCCGCGGUAAUACGUAGGUGGCAAGCGUUAUCCGGAAUUAUUGGGCGUAAAGCGCGCGUAGGCGGUUUUUUAAGUCUGAUGUGAAAGCCCACGGCUCAACCGUGGAGGGUCAUUGGAAACUGGAAAACUUGAGUGCAGAAGAGGAAAGUGGAAUUUCAUGUGUAGCGGUGAAAUGCGCAGAGAUAUGGAGGAACACCAGUGGCGAAGGCGACUUUCUGGUCUGUAACUGACGCUGAUGUGCGAAAGCGUGGGGAUCAAACAGGAUUAGAUACCCUGGUAGUCCACGCCGUAAACGAUGAGUGCUAAGUGUUAGGGGGUUUCCGCCCCUUAGUGCUGCAGCUAACGCAUUAAGCACUCCGCCUGGGGAGUACGACCGCAAGGUUGAAACUCAAAGGAAUUGACGGGGACCCGCACAAGCGGUGGAGCAUGUGGUUUAAUUCGAAGCAACGCGAAGAACCUUACCAAAUCUUGACAUCCUUUGACAACUCUAGAGAUAGAGCUUUCCCCUUCGGGGGACAAAGUGACAGGUGGUGCAUGGUUGUCGUCAGCUCGUGUCGUGAGAUGUUGGGUUAAGUCCCGCAACGAGCGCAACCCUUAAGCUUAGUUGCCAUCAUUAAGUUGGGCACUCUAAGUUGACUGCCGGUGACAAACCGGAGGAAGGUGGGGAUGACGUCAAAUCAUCAUGCCCCUUAUGAUUUGGGCUACACACGUGCUACAAUGGACAAUACAAAGGGCAGCGAAACCGUGAGGUCAAGCAAAUCCCAUAAAGUUGUUCUCAGUUCGGAUUGUAGUCUGCAACUCGACUACAUGAAGCUGGAAUCGCUAGUAAUCGUAGAUCAGCAUGCUACGGUGAAUACGUUCCCGGGUCU
rnacentral:rRNA from 1 species